rnacentral:tRNA from 1 species
GCCUUCGUGGUGUAGUGGUCAGCACGCUCGACGCGUAUUCGAGAGGUCCAAGGUUCGAGUCCCGGCAAGGGCA